AACACUUAGCGUGUGGAGGCGAACCUUCCCCUUCCCCCAGGUGCAGUACGACACCUGCUCCCAGGCGACGGCAGCGGGCGAGGGGUGCCCACUAGUGACCGGGUCAAGUGUGGCUCAGUGACACCCAGUGUAGUGUAUACUGUACUACACACUCCGUGUACGGUACUUUUAUCACACACUUGACGGACUCUUUGUAACAAAGUGUCACACAGACGCUGUACACAAUAUUCUAGCUGUUAGAUUGCAUUCAUUGCCGUGAUUAGUAGGAAGACCAGACAGAUGAUUGUGGUUGCCAAGUGUCAGUUCUCAGUAUCAUAAACUUUCAAGACCAAAAAGUGAAAAUCGAGCACUUGGGAAGAGUGAGGAGAGAAUGUCGCCGUCACGGGUGUUGACGCUGCUGCUGGUGCUGCUGGUGGUGCUGGCGCUACUGACGGACGACGUGGAGGCGGCUCGUCGACGUCGUCGCCGUCGUCGCCAACGAGGCAGGAGGACGAAGGAGGGGCCAGAGUCGAGGCGUGGCGCCCGCAGGAUCCGACACGCGGCCGGCAAGAGAGCAGAGUUCGUUAGGCGGCGGCUGAGGAAGUCACGACCUGUUGACGAGGAGGGCAAGCUGAGGCUCCUGGAGGGGCGUGAAGACUGGGAGGGCAAUGUGCAGAUCUUCCACGAUGGUCGGUGGGGAAACAUAUGUGAUGACGAAUGGGAUGACCGAGAGGGGGAAAUAGUGUGCAGGUCCCUGGGCUUUCCUGGCCUCAAGAAAGUCACCUACAGUGGUGUCUACGGCCAUGUCAAAGAGAGGUUCUGGAUGGACAAUCUCUUCUGCGUUGGCACAGAGAAGAACUUGACUGAAUGUAAGUUUGAUGGAUGGGGUGUCCACGACUGUCAGAACAGUGAAGCAGCAGGUGUAGUGUGCAAAUCACACUUUGCCACCACCACCGGCCCACCCACACUGCCUCCCAGGGACCAGCCCAUCAUUGUCAACAAGACAAAGUUGGUGCACUCCUUGAAUGGCAAGCUUAAGCUUCAAAUCAAAGGAGGCAGAACAAAGUCCGAAGGCCGUGUGGAAGUACAGCUGCCCGGUACAGAUACCUGGGGCCUUCUCUGUGGUGAUGGCUGGGGUUUAUUUGAGGGUAUGGUUGUAUGUCGCCAGCUGGGGCUAAAUUAUGCCCAGGGAGCCGUAUCCACAGGUUACUUUGGAGGCAAUAAGUCUGAUGUUAUCAUUAGUGGGAUCAAGUGUACCGGUAAUGAAGACAGACUAGACCAAUGCCUGCAUGAUGGGAUUGGGGAGGUGUUUUGCCCAGACCCCAGUUCAGACCCCAAUAUUGCUGGGGUCACUUGUGUCGACAAAAUGGCUGACCUGGUUCCUGACCACCUCGAGUUAGCAAGAUCAGCGCACCUGGAAGACAAGCAGCUCUUCUUCCUUCAGUGUGCUAUGGAGGAGAAUUGUCUUUCUGGUUCUGCCACUAAAGCUCAAGAUGGUGGCUAUGGAUGGCACCUUGAGACACGUCGUCUUCUGCGCUUUACAGCCCGCAUUGUGAACCAGGGUGAUGAAGCCUUCCGUCCCUUCCUUCCCAAGCAGUACUGGGAAUGGCAUGCCUGUCAUAUGCACUACCACAGCAUGGAGGUGUUUGCCCAUUAUGACAUUAUUGACUCUGAGGGCCACCGAGUUGCAGAAGGCCACAAAGCAUCAUUUUGCUUGGAGGACAACAACUGCAUGCCAGGUGUUGAACCGGUCUUCAAGUGUGCCAAUUAUGGGGACCAGGGAAUCAGCCCGGGAUGUACUGACACAUAUGCUUAUAACAUUGACUGCCAGUGGAUUGACAUUACUGAUAUAAAGCCCGGAACAUAUACAUUUAAGCUGGCAAUAAACCCUGAAUUUAAAGUCGCAGAGAAGACUUUUGACAACAAUGCUGCUUCCUGUGAGCUUAUUUAUGGCUCACAGAAUGUAUGGCUGGGUAACUGCUCAUUAGGUAGACCAUAGAUGUGUGUCACCCACAGAAUGAAUGGCUGGGUAACUGUUCUUUAGGUAGACCAUAGAUGUGUGUCACCCACAGAAUGUAUGGAUGGGUAACUGCUCUUUAGGUAGAUCAUAGAUGUGCAUAAUGUGCAUCACCCACAGAAUGAAUGGCUGGGUAACUGCAGAAUAGACUUAACUCAGAUUAUAUGGUUGGGUACAGAUCAUUGAAUUGUUUUAACUAUACAUGCAACUUCAUCUUUUCCCAUUCAUAAAAACCAUGUCAAUGGGUCAUAAAUAUUUUACAUAUGUGGAAUGUAAAAAACUAUUACUAUACAAUUAUAGUAAUUUAAAAUCUUAGAGUUUUUGCUGGGGUGUCUGUAACAUAUUGUGUAUUUUUAAUUAUAAAUUUGUUUGAAUUCAGUGACAAAAGAGUAGGACAACAGCCCAAGCAUGUUUUAAUUAAUUAAUUAAACUUGUGUCAUCUAAUUUGUUGUAUUAAGUCUUAUGUAAUACUGUAUAUACUUUUCAUAAUUCACUGAGAUGAAUAUAUAGAUUACAGUGCUUGAAGAUGGAUUUUCACAUCAUCAAUAGUGUUUAACAUGCAUUGCAGUGCUGUAAAGUCUGGAAGGCAAAAUAUGUUUGCAUUCUGAUGCUGCAGGUUGUUGCAUCUGUAUUGAAAUUUCACAGAUUUUUUUCUGACAUUGCAGCUCACCUUUUUUUUCAUAUGAAGGAAUAAUUGACAAUUUUUCUGGGGGGAGCCCCUAUGGCUCCCUGGAGCUAUCAAGGCUGAUAUGGAUAUCCCUAACUUUGGCAUCAGUCGAUGUGGGUGGAGUUGUAGGCCUACCGGGGAC
rnacentral:misc_RNA from 1 species